ACAACUAGGAAGGGAACUAAAACAUGCCGGAUGCUGGCCCUAGAGGACCGACUUUGAGCACCCCUGGUCUAGAAGGUUGAUACAACAGCAGAUCUAACCUAUUGUGGUGCAAAACUGUUCAGUGAUUUAAAAACUAACAACAGUACUUUAAAGUCUGUUCUCUACGCUACAGGGAGCCAAGGAAGGACUUUAGAAAUGGGUGAUGUGCUCUAUCUUCUCAUCUCAUGAAGGAAUCAAUUCAACCUUAUGGAACGCAAACACCACAAGCAUACACCAGAAAUAGCACAAACAACUUACUUCUUUGUAAAGUAAGAGAAUUUAUUAACAAAAUAUUCAAUAAACCAUAUACUGGAACUACCACACUGCAACUAAAAUACUAAGCCAUAAAAAUUUUUUAAGUAAAUGAUCAAAUCAAGUAUCCAAUGAAUUAUGAUAUCAAAAUGAAAUGGAAUACUAAAACAUAACUUCAAAACUAAUUAACUGAUUAAUAAUCGUAAAAUGUCAGUAAACAACAACAGUAUCAGAAUUCAGCUUCAGCAUAAAAAUGCAUGUAAUAAAAACGGGAUUUGUGAUGACGGAAAUGAAUUCUCCUUGUUGGCAGCAGCUAGCAAGGAAGAUAUCAGUGAAAAGCAGAGGGAGGUGUGUAUGCGUGUUGAGAUGUGUGUCAAAAGGAUGGGGGCUGGCGCCCCCAAUUUGGCACUGGUUUGAAAAACCAGCGCCAAAUAAGAACAAAAGGCCAAUGGACAUGUGGCUAAGCCUAGCUUUCGAAGGUACACAAAGAAAAGAGUGUCUUCAGAGAUCCUUCACUGAAAAAUUAGACUGAAUGUUUGCAGUCGUGUGCAUUCAUGAGUGAGCAGCAAGAGACAGAAAAAGAGAGAGAGGGAGAGACAGAGAAACUGGAUUCAGUGUGAUUACUUAAUAUUAUGCUACUAUUUAAGCAAAUAUGAUGACCAUGCUCCCUUUGAUGGACUGGUUAUCUGUCCAGGGUGACCCCGCCUCUCGCCCUCCAGUUGACUGCUGGAGAUGGGCACCAGCACCCCUAGCAACCUCUCUAGGGAUAAGCAUGGGUGAUGUGGGUGAUGG